GGGAGGCCGGGAGGGGUCCCUGGGCGGGGAGUUGCUGCGCAUCUGUUGUGUGUGUGCGUCUGUCUGUCUGUUCAGGUCUGUUUUAGGCUGUGUCUGCCUGUCUCUCUGUCUGGGUCUCUUUCAGGCUGCGUCGGUCUGUCUGUCUGGGUCUGUUUCAGGCUGUGUCUGUCUGUCUGUCCGGGUCUGUUUCAGGCUGUGUCUGUCUGUCUGUCCGGGUCUGUUUCAGGCUGUGUCUGUCUGUCUGUCCGGGUCUGUUUCAGGCUGUGUCUGUCUGUCUGUCUGGGUCUGUUUCAGGCUGUGUCUGUCUGUCUGUUUGUCUGGGUCUGUUUCAGGCUGUGUCUGUCUGUCCGGGUCUGUUUCAGGCUGUAUGUGUGUCUGCUCUUUGCUUCUGCUCCUGGCUCUGUGUGUAUUUCCCGGGUCCUGUG
rnacentral:lncRNA from 1 species